GUUGAGGUCUAUCCCGAUGGGGCUUUUCCUGUAGCCACACAUCACUGGAAACACCUCAUAGAGUAAGUCUGUGGUUCUGCUUUACUCGUAGGACUACUUGUCAGAUCUGUGGAAAGAAACUACAAGACAGUU